CCCGUUCAUGUUCCAAUUCACUGCGAUAAAAAUUCAGCCAUACAAAUAGCUCAUAAUCCAAUAGCUGCGCACAAAACAUAUUGAAAUAUAUUGUCACCUAAUUAGCAACAAAGUUCUAAGUGGUGCCGUUCAUCUUCUACCAAUCCCUUCUGCUAAUACACACAAAGCCUCUGCAUCCUAUCACUUUUCACUCUUUACUAUCCAAGAUUGGCAUGAUUACAAUAUAUGCCAUAAAGAUAAUAAGUCUAACUGAUAUAGCUAUUUGUUGAUUAGUUAAUUAUGUUAGUUGUUGGAUUUCUGUUAUCUCUAUUAUUAGUUGUAUAAAAAUUAUCAAUUAAAUGAGAAUGAGAUAACCAAUUUGCAAUAUUGAUAAUAUAUUGUUCCAAGUGCUCGCAAAGAGUGUGGCGAAUGAGUAUGGCAAAGGUAUCUGCGACUCGGCGUACUCGGAGUAGCUGAAAAGAUUGAAAUUUUCAUAAGCAUGUAGAAGAAGCUGUGAUGGGGUGAGAUUUCUUCUGUCAAAUAUUUGAUUCCUUCUCCAACAAGUUUAAAUCAAAAUGAUGAAUUGUUCAAAAAAAUAAUAAUCAAAAUGAAAGACUUGAUUGCAAAACAUUAUAUUUUAUGGAGUUAAAAAAUUAUUUAAGAAAUUUGUAUCUAUUUUUUUGUUUUGAACUGGGGUUGUUGUUCUAACACUAGACAUAAUAUUGCACUAGAAGAAAAACACUACCAUCAAUUUUGAAAGAGAUUACCUUUUCUCUUGAAUGAUUGUCUUUUGUGAAGUUCCUUUGUAAUGCCAAUGUCCAAAGCUUCCAAUUCGUAACCUAUUAGGAAAGUGUUUCUGUACCUCUACAUUCACACUCCAAUUAGUCCUAUACUAGCUAAUAGCUAUUUUUGCAGCACUCCCUUACUUAGAAAAUUUUGGAGUUAAAAAGAAUAAUUUUAGAUCUAUACAAUGACACUGAUGAUGAAGAUAAGAACAUGAUGCAUAUUCUUUGCAAAACUUUCCUAGGCUCUUAUUCCUUUAUACACAAGUAAGUAAAAUUUACAUGGAUUAUUAUCACCUUAGAUACUGUUCAAGACACUCUUU
rnacentral:lncRNA from 1 species